CGAAUUGCGAUAUGUAAUGUGAACUGCAGAAUUCAGUGAAUCAUCGAAUCUUUGAACGCACAUUGCA
rnacentral:rRNA from 1 species